rnacentral:rRNA from 1 species
CCUACGGGUGGCUGCAGUGAGGAAUUUUGGUCAAUGGGAGGAAUCCUGAACCAGCCAUGCCGCGUGCAGGACGACGGCUCUACGAGUUGUAAACUGCUUUUGUACCGGGGUAAAAUGCCUUACGUGUAGUGUUUUGCAAGUACGGUACGAAUCAGGAUCGGCUAACUCCGUGCCAUGAGCAGCGUUAAUACGGAGGAUCCGAGCGUUAUCCGGAUUCAUUGGGUUUAAAGGGUGCUGAGGUUGUUUUAUAAGUUAGCGGUGAAAUACCGAUGCUCAACAAAGGGGCUGCCGCUAAUACUGUAGGACGAGAGAUCGGAUGCAGCAGGCGGAAUGGGUAGUGUAGCGGUGAAAUGCAUAGAUAUUACACAGAACACCGAUUGCGAAGGCAGCUUGCUAGGCCGGAUCUGACACUGAUGCACGAAAGCGUGGGGAUCGAACAGGAUUAGAUACCCUUGUAGUC